UUUGAGCCGAGGGGCAAUGUGGAAACAGCAGGGCAGCGCUGCCUGGGAACCGCAACAGAGAGCCCGCUUUGCGUGACGGAUUGGCUGAAGCGCUUAGAGAUAUUGAGCCCAAUGCAACGGGCAGCCAAGCAAUAGCAAA
rnacentral:sRNA from 12 species